GACGAACGCUGGCGGCGUGCUUAACACAUGCAAGUCGAGCGGUAAGGCCUUUCGGGGUACACGAGCGGCGAACGGGUGAGUAACACGUGGGUGAUCUGCCCUGCACUCUGGGAUAAGCCUGGGAAACUGGGUCUAAUACCGGAUAUGACUCCAGCAUGCAUGUGCUGGGGUGGAAAGCUUUUGUGGUGCAGGAUGGGCCCGCGGCCUAUCAGCUUGUUGGUGGGGUAAUGGCCUACCAAGGCGACGAUCCCUAGCUGGUCUGAGAGGACGAUCAGCCACACUGGGACUGAGACACGGCCCAGACACCUACGGGAGGCUG
rnacentral:rRNA from 1 species